ACAAUCUGAAAAUUACCUUUGGCUUUUGUUGCCUUGGGUAAGAUAAUUGUGCCGACAGUAAUCUUGGUGCAUUUAGCUUAUUGCCAACUCCAUGUUCAGUUGUUGUGCAAUGAAACCCAUGUGCCAACACUA